rnacentral:rRNA from 1 species
UACGAAGGGGGCUAGCGUUGUUCGGAAUUACUGGGCGUAAAGUGUGCGCAGGCGGCGUUGCAAGUCGAGUGUGAAAGCCCCGGGCUUAACUUGGGAAUUGCGCUCGAAACUACGAUGCUGGAGUGUGGCAGAGGAAGGUGGAAUUCCACGUGUAGCGGUGAAAUGCGUAGAGAUGUGGAGGAACACCGAUGGCGAAGGCAGCCUUCUGGGCCAACACUGACGCUCAUGCACGAAAGCGUGGGGAGCAAACAGG